GUGAGGAAUAUUGGUCAAUGGGCGAGAGCCUGAACCAGCCAAGUCGCGUGAAGGAUGAAGGUUUUAUGAAUUGUAAACUUCUUUUGCAGGGGAAUAAAGUACGGUACGUGUACCGUUUUGUAUGUACUCUGCGAAUAAGGAUCGGCUAACUCCGUGCCAGCAGCCGCGGUAAUACGGAGGAUCCAAGCGUUAUCCGGAUUUAUUGGGUUUAAAGGGUGCGUAGGUGGUUUGAUAAGUCAGCGGUGAAAGUUUGCAGCUUAACUGUAAAAAUGCCGUUGAAACUGUCGGACUUGAGUGUAAAUGAGGUAGGCGGAAUGCGUGGUGUAGCGGUGAAAUGCAUAGAUAUCACGCAGAACUCCGAUUGCGAAGGCAGCUUACUGGGAUGCAACUGACACUGAUGCACGAAAGCGUGGGUAUCAAACAGGAUUAGAAACCCCUGUAGUCC
rnacentral:rRNA from 1 species